ensembl:processed_transcript
AGCUGACAGAAGGCAAGACUCUAGCGAUGAUUGGCGUGCACUUUGUGUGCCUACUUUUCAUCCAGUUCUUCUGUUUGCUCCUGAUAAAACAUUUCAUGAUAAGAUUUAGAUAUGUUCAUUUGAACCUGACAGAAAAUAAGACUUCUGAGGGUAGAAGCUGCUACAAUCACUAAAAUGUAUAAAUACCAAAAUAUACAAGAACUGCUCCCAGUAGAAAUAAAUUUACUGGAAUGUAACUCGAUUGUGAGUCUAGGAGACCAAUGGACCCUGAAGCACUCUUCAGAUCUGCGAUUUAAAAAUGACCUCCAAUAAGACAUUGCAAAAAUGGGAAAGAAACAAUGGAAAAAAAAUGAUAAAACAAUGGAAAAAGAAAAUCCUUGCCUGGCAGUGAGCCUGAAGACAGCUGAUCAAAGGGGAAGAAGUACAGUCACAGAUGGAAGAGAGAUGACCUGGACAGUGGGCUGCAGUGGGAAGGAAGCCAUGUUUUCAGGACAUGAAAAGUGGAGUCACACGAGGCUCACUGGGUGCUGGUGGGAGGCAGAGGGGUGUACCCUUAAACUGUAAUUGUUUGGUGUAAACAGACUGAAUUUGUGUCCUUCUCCAAAA